rnacentral:rRNA from 1 species
GAGUGGCGAACGGGUGAGUAAUGCGUGACCGACCUGCCCCAUACACCGGAAUAGCUUCUGGAAACGGGUGGUAAUGCCGGAUGCUCCAGUUGAUCGCAUGGUCUUCUGGGAAAGCUUUCGCGGUAUGGGAUGGGGUCGCGUCCUAUCAGCUUGACGGCGGGGUAACGGCCCACCGUGGCUUCGACGGGUAGCCGGCCUGAGAGGGCGACCGGCCACAUUGGGACUGAGAUACGGCCCAGACUCCUACGGGAGGCAGCAUG